rnacentral:tRNA from 1 species
GCCGGUGUAGCUCAGCUGGUAGAGCAUUUGAUUCGUAAUCAAAAGGUCGACGGUUCGAGUCCGUCCACCGGCU